rnacentral:snoRNA from 1 species
GGCUAUGAUGAAGACGAUGAUUCUUCUUUCCCAGUCCGAUUCGACCAUGACGACAAGGGGUUCUAUCUCGUUUCUGGCUGCGACUUCGGUUGCAACCGCUUAAGAAACUUUUCUUGCCAGUGUAAUUUAUUACACGAUUAAGCAUUCUGAGCC